rnacentral:lncRNA from 1 species
AUUUAGCUGUAAAGAAAAUAGGAAGUUUGCCUAAAGCUAUCAUUCCUAGCCUAUGUUUGCCAAGAAUCCAUUACUAUGUAAGGUAUUGAUAAAUGUCCCUAUCUUUGCUUUCAUUUUAGGAAAGAUAGACCAUCUAAGUGCACUCUGUGGUUACAAAAUAAAAGUUUUAUGAUAUACUUGCACUUAAGCAACAACGUGGAGCAAGAACUGAGAUGUGGGAAAUUGCCGGAGGUAUUGUGUGAGUGUGCAUGUAUUACUGACUUGCCGAAGAGUUCUUGGAUUAACACAUUAAUAGACAUGAUCUUCUACAAGGGAACUAAUCCUGGAAGUGAAAAAGGAAGAAAACAAAACCAUUCUACAAGGUAGCUAAGAAUUAACUCAACAUGAGAAUUUCAUUGAUAAUGGAGCAUGAUCAGUAGUUUUUGAUGCUCUGUGACUGUUAGCAGCCAGAAAGACAGUUCAUAUAACCCUGAAAUAGCUGGAACUCAUAAUGAAUACUCAAUUUUGCCCCAAAAUCAUGCACAUUAGAAAGUCCUACAGACUGUUUUUGCCUGUGACCACUUUUUUAUCUGCAAAAAGCUAAAGCCUGGUCAGACUCAAGAAAGGAUGUUCUGAGUAGUAAAACUCCAAAAGAAA